rnacentral:rRNA from 1 species
UGAAAUGGCUUUCCCUCCAGAGUGGAUCCUGAGUACGGCGGAACACGUGAAAUUCCGUCGGAAUCCGGGAGGACCAUCUCCCAAGGCUAAAUACUCCCUAGUGACCGAUAGUGAACCAGUACCGUGAGGGAAAGGUGAAAAGCACCCCGGAAGGGGAGUGAAACAGUUCCUGAAACCGUGUGCCUACAAGUAGUUAGAGCCCGUUAAUGGGUGAUAGCGUGCCUUUUGUAGAAUGAACCGGCGAGUUACGAUUUGUUGCAAGGUUAAGCGGAAAAAGCGGAGCCGUAGCGAAAGCGAGUCUGAAUAGGGCGCAUAAGUAACAGGUCGUAGACCCGAAACCAGGUGAUCUACCCAUGUCCAGGAUGAAGGUAAGGUAAUACUUACUGGAGGUCCGAACCCACGCACGUUGAAAAGUGCGGGGAUGAGGUGUGGGUAGCGGAGAAAUUCCAAUCGAACUUGGAGAUAGCUGGUUCUCUCCGAAAUAGCUUUAGGGCUAGCCUCGAGGUAAAGAGUCAUGGAGGUAGAGCACUGUUUGGACUAGGGGCCCUUCUCGGGUUACCGAAUUCAGAUAAACUCCGAAUGCCAUGUACUUAUACUCGGGAGUCAGACUGCGAGUGAUAAGAUCCGUAGUCGAAAGGGAAACAGCC